rfam:Aspergillus fumigatus Af293 chromosome 4, whole genome shotgun sequence.
UCCUCGCUCAAAGGAUCGCAUUCAAAGCUCACACACAGAGUACCUACCGGGUAUUCUCAUUCCUCUGCCAGGAGGAACCUAGCUUUGGGAGAAAGUCCCCGGACACCCUGCCCGAUCCUCGGAUCCGUGGCAGGCAAUGCGGAAACGCGCCGCCAUAGAAGCAAUUUGAUAGCGGCUAACUGCCCUACUCCCUCCCGGCGCCCGUGCCUAUAUCUGACGCUGUUCGCGGUGGAAACAAUGAUGGUAUAGCGGGGUGUCGGAGAGGGGUUGUUUCAUUGGGUUGCCUUUCGUCGUGUUUGGAUAGUCAUGCGAUUGCCCUGAUCCUCCUUUGGAGGCUUUUGGGUAACUCAAUGGGGCUCAUUCUUGAGGCGAGG